rnacentral:tRNA from 1 species
GUUUUGAUAGCUUAUAUAGAGCAUAGCGUUGAAGGUGCUAAGGAGGGUCAGUUAACUCUUAAAACA